CUGUAGGCCACAAAUAGACCAUGUCCUUCUGCCCCACUACAGACCUGUAGGCCACAAAUAGACCAUGUCCUUCUGCCCCACUACAGACCUGUAGGCCACAAAUAGACCAUGUCCUUCUGCCCCACUACAGACCUGUAGGCCACAAAUAGACCAUGUCCUUCUGCCCCACUACAGACCUGUAGGCCACAAAUAGACCAUGCAGCUUUAUUUUACACAUAGCAAAGAUUGCAACUAUUUGAACAACAUGGAGAACAGAAGCUGUAGACCAUGUUGAUCCACACUCAAGUAUAAUUUGUUUGCGCUUUUAUUGAAAAUGAAACACAGAAAUAUCUCAUUUAUUCAAUAAGUAGGAAAUCCAGAAUCCUCCAACAAGGACUUCUGGAAAAUAAAAAACAUGUUGGGAAACCCUAGUUUCAGAUGUAUUGUUAAUACCAGGCUAUGUUCUGUACUGUUUCAGAUGUAUUGUUAAUACCAGGCUAUGUUCUGUACUGUUUCAGAUGUAUUGUUAAUACCAGGCUAUGUUCUGUACUGUUUCAGAUGUAUUGUUAAUACCAGGCUAUGUUCUGUACUGUUUCAGAUGUAUUGUUAAUACCAGGCUAUGUUCUGUACUGUUUAAGAUGUAUUGUUAAUACCAGGCUAUGUUCUGUACUGUUUCAGAUGUAUUGUUAAUACCAGGCUAUGUUCUGUACUGUUUCAGAUGUAUUGUUAAUACCAGGCUAAGAACUGUCUGGGUGACACUGCUUCUCCAACACGCUUCUCCUUCCUUCCACUGUGCAUUAUUCAAUCAACACAAUUUAUUAUAGAGACAAAAUAAUGCUUAGAAACAUGAUUUCUCAUAGCAACAAAACAAUGCUUAGAAACAUGAUUUCUCAUAGCAACAGAACAAUGCUUAGAAACAUGAUUUCUCAUAGCAACAAAACAGUGCUUAGAAUCAUGAUUUCUCAUUGCAACAAAACAAUACUUAGAAACAUGAUUUCUCAUAGCAACAAAACAAUGCUUAGAAACAUGAUUUCUCAUAGCAACAAAACAAUGCUUAGAAACAUGAUUUCUCAUAGCAACAAAAUAAUGCUUAGAAACAUGAUUUCUCAUAGCAACAAAACAAUGCUUAGAAACAUUAUUUCUCAUAGCAACAGAACAAUGCUUAGAAACAUGAUUUCUCAUAGCAACAGAACAAUGCUUAGAAACAUGAUUUCUCAUAGCAACAAAAUAAUGCUUAGAAACAUACUGGUACUUGACUCCCCUCUGCCUGUCUCUCUGUCCCUGUAUGUACCCCCCCAUUCCCUGUGCUUGAGCUAAAGCAUGCGUACUACUACUAAUAAUGCUGUCAGGUGUCUUACUAAAGGGAUCUAUAACGUAUCUACAGCAUACAGUUGAAGUCGGAAGUUUACAUACACUUAGGUUGGAGUCAUUAACUCGUUUUUCAACCACUCCACAAAUUUCCUGAUAACAAACUAUAGUUUUGCCAAGUUGUUUAGGACAUCUACUUUGUGCAUGGCAAAAGUCAUUUUUCCAACAAUUGUUUACAGACAGAUUAUUUCACUUAUCACAAUUCCAGUGGGUCAGAAGUUCACAUACACUAAGUUGACUGUGCCUUUAAAUCAGCUUAGAAAAUUCCAGAAAAUGAUGUCAUGGCUUUAGAAGCUUCUGAUAGGCUAAUUGACAUCAUUUGAGUCAAUUGAAGAUAUAUCUGUGGAUGUUUCAAGGUCCACCUUCAAACUCAGUGCUUCUUUGCUUGACACCAUGGGGAAAUCAAAAGAGAUCAGCUAAGACCUCCACAUGUCUGGUUCAUCAUCAACAGGUUAUGGGCAGAAACCCCAUUGUGUGCAUACUAACAGGUUAUGAGCAGAAACCCCAUUGUGUGCAUACUAACAGGUUAUGAGCAGAAACCCCAUUGUGUGCAUACUAACAGGUUAUGAGCAGAAACCCCAUUGUGUGCAUACUAACAGGUUAUGAGCAGAAACCCCAUUGUGUGCAUACUAACAGGUUAUGAGCAGAAACCCCAUUGUGUGCAUACUAACAGGUUAUGAGCAGAAACCCCAUUGUGUGCAUACUAACAGGUUAUGAGCAGAAACCCCAUUGUGUGCAUACUAACAGGUUAUGAGCAGAAACCCCAUUGUGUGCAUACUAACAGGUUAUGAGCAGAAACCCCAUUGUGUGCAUACUAACAGGUUAUGAGCAGAAACCCCAUUGUGUGCAUACUAACAGGUUAUGAGCAGAAACCCCAUUGUGUGCAUACUAACAGGUUAUGAGCAGAAACCCCAUUGUGUGCAUACCAACAGGUUAUGAGCAGAAACCCCAUUGUGUGCAUACUAACAGGUUAUGAGCAGAAACCCCAUUGUGUGCAUACUAACAGGUUAUGAGCAGAAACCCCAUUGUGUGCAUACUAACAGGUUAUGAGCAGAAACCCCAUUGUGUGCAUACUAACAGGUCAUGAGCAGAAACCCCAUUGUGUGCAUACUAACAGGUUAUGAGCAGAAACCCCAUUGUGUGCAUACUAACAGGUUAUGAGCAGAAACCCCAUUGUGUGCAUACUAACAGGUUAUGAGCAGAAACCCCAUUGUGUGCAUACUAACAGGUUAUGAGCAGAAACCCCAUUGUGUGCAUACUAACAGGUUAUGAGCAGAUGAUGAUUACCUGUGGAAUGCCAAAAAGCCAAACCUUGAACCCUAAUGAACAUAUGGAGGUUUGAUUCACUGUAGUUAUUGUCAAGUUGGUUGUCAAGUUGGUUGUUGAUCAUUGCUAGACAACCAUUUAAGUCUUGCCAUAGAUUUCCAAGCUGAUUUAAGUAAAAGGUUUAACUAGGCCACUCAGGAACCUUCAAUGUCGUCUUGGUAAGCAACUCUUGUAGAUUUGGCCUUGUGUUUUAGGUUAUUGUCCUGCUGAAAGGUGAAUUCAUCUCCCAGUGUCUGUUGGAAGCAGACUGAACCAGAUUUUCCUCUAGGAUUUUGCCUGUGUUUAUGGCAAGCAUACCCAUAACAUGAUGCAGCCACCACCAUAAAGAGUGGUACUCAGUGAUGUGUUGGAUUUUCCCCAAACGUACCGCUUUUUAUUCAGAACAAAACGUUUGUUUCUUUACCAAUUUGUUUGCAGUAUUACUUUAGUGCCUCAUUGCAAACAGGAAGCAUGUUUUGAAAUGUGUUCUAUUCUCUACACGCUUCCUAUUAUUCACUCUGUCAGUUAGUAUUGUGGAGUUACUACAAUUGUUGAUCCAUCCUCAGUUUUCUCCUAUCACA